rnacentral:rRNA from 1 species
AACGCUAGCUACAGGCUUAACACAUGCAAGUCGAGGGGCAGCGGGAUUGAAGCUUGCUUCAAUUGCCGGCGACCGGCGCACGGGUGAGUAACGCGUAUCCAACCUUCCGUACACUCAGGGAUAGCCUUUCGAAAGAAAGAUUAAUACCUGAUGGUAUGAUGAGAUUGCAUGAUAGCAUCAUUAAAGAUUUAUCGGUGUACGAUGGGGAUGCGUUCCAUUAGGUAGUAGGCGGGGUAACGGCCCACCUAGCCAACGAUGGAUAGGGGUUCUGAGAGGAAGGUCCCCCACAUUGGAACUGAGACACGGUCCAAACUCCUACGGGAGGCAGCAGUGAGGAAUAUUGGUCAAUGGGCGAGAGCCUGAACCAGCCAAGUAGCGUGAAGGAUGACUGCCCUAUGGGUUGUAAACUUCUUUUAUAAAGGAAUAAAGUCGGGUAUGCAUACCCGUUUGCAUGUACUUUAUGAAUAAGGAUCGGCUAACUCCGUGCCAGCAGCCGCGGUAAUACGGAGGAUCCGAGCGUUAUCCGGAUUUAUUGGGUUUAAAGGGAGCGUAGGCGGACGCUUAAGUCAGUUGUGAAAGUUUGCGGCUCAACCGUAAAAUUGCAGUUGAUACUGGGUGUCUUGAGUACAGUAGAGGCAGGCGGAAUUCGUGGUGUAGCGGUGAAAUGCUUAGAUAUCACGAAGAACUCCGAUUG